rnacentral:lncRNA from 1 species
GGGACUAUAUAUACUUUGAUCUCUACUCUCCUGUCUUCAGCCUGGUGUGUGCCUUCUCUUUUUCCUGCAUGGAACUUCCACGCUCAAAUUUUCCAAACCACAUUCCUCCUUACCUUCAACAACCUCCUAUAAAGCCCUUCUCCAAGAUGCGUUCUCCUGUACAGUGCAUAAUAAAAUGUCAGAAUAACAUCUUUUGUCAAAAUCUUCUAUUUCUACGCAUAUCUGCAAGAGCCUUCAAUAUGGAGAAAAAAUGAAGCCAUGUGAAAUUUUAAACCCCUUUUUUAAGCAUUGGAUCUCAUUAAAAGUUGUUUUUCCUGUUUGAAUUUAGAAGUACCGGGAGUGAGGCUUCUUUCAUCAAAGCUAGCUUGCACAUCUUAUUCAAAAUCUUUUGCAAUUUAAGAGUCUCGGAGACUAUCGUCGAGGAAACCCUCAUUCGUUCUGAACCCUCCUUUGAAAUCCUUGCCAGGCAAAUCAUUGUGACCACACUUCACAAUUCCCCAGUCCUGGGCAGCAGAUGUAUUUUUCCCAUUCAUUUUACAUGUGGCUUCAGGCAAACCAGAAGCACUGCUCAGCCACCUUUCAGUUGUAUUGCUAACUGGCUGAGAGGGCUCAUGAGCACCAUUAUUUUCUGUCCGUGAAAU